rnacentral:tRNA from 1 species
GGAGAAAUGCCAGAGUGGCUUAAUGGGGCGGUCUCGAAAACCGUUGUAUAAUUUUACUUAUACCGUGGGUUCAAAUCCCACUUUCUCCG